UUAUAUUAUGGGAAGGGAGAGAAAAAAGGGGUAUGUGGUAUGGUAAAAAUAAAUAAAUAAAUAAAAAGAUACAGAGAAAAGAAAAGGGGCAGGAAAAAAAACAUUUUCUGAACACGGAAGAAACGUGAAGAAUUGGGAUACACAACGAAUUUGUGAAGAAGACAUAUUUCGAGAUAAGGGGAAAAUUUCUUUACUAAUAGGUGCUUAU
rnacentral:lncRNA from 1 species